UCCACCAGCCAUGGGCAACAUAAGCACUCGCCUCUAGGCCUACACAGGCCCUGCUGUCCCCCUGCAGGUUAGUGAUAAGCAUACUCCAAUCCUCAAGCCCUCCAAGCAUCUCACUGGAGUGCCUGGCCCCUGGACUUUCACUGUAUUCACCAGCCCGCUGCUUCCAAACAAACACUACAGCCUCCCACAUUACAAAAGGUGGGGAAAGAGGUGAACAGUGUUUUGGGGCUAAAAUACUCAUAUACAUCCUCCGCCGCUAAAACCAGAGGGACACCUUCCCCUCCUUUCCACUCCAUGGGCUAGUGGAAGCUCAAUAAGCAGAGCUCCUCCCUCCUCAUUGCCUGGAUGCUACAUCAGGCAAGGAAUCUGAAGUGCAUACAGCAGGAGUAGUAUAUGGAGCGCCAAGCCUCUAACACCAGCAGGGGAAGCAGCAGCACCACCUGAUGGGGGAAGAAGAAUUAUCCAAGCUGGGAGUUCUCCAUCUGCCUCAGACAGUGAAAUGCAAUCUCACCAUGUGACAUCACCACCCACAAUGACACACAACCCCAGAAUUGGUGAAGUCCCCCUCCUGGUCUGAGGUAGACAAUGCUGGUGAACAAGCAAUGUCCUGGACCUGUGGUAGAUUUACAUUGGCCUUUCAAGAGCUGAAUUAAUGUACACAGGUGGGGAUUUGAGUGACAAGAUGAUGAGUCGGCUCCUGAGUCCGCACACCCUGUUACAGACAUAUGCUGUUCUUUGCCAUGAACAUGGAAGCAAGGCCAAAGGAGGAGGAGUUACUGCCACGUGACCUGCUAGUGUUCUGAAUAACACCUUGCAUACAUGGACCUCAGUUUGGGAACUGCUGCCAUAGACCAAGACAACCAGAUUGUUUAAUCUAAAAUAAAAGUAACUAUAAAGAACUAAAGUCA